CUACAUUUGAGAAGUUCAUAUACCAUUUUCAUUUGGAAAAGAGCAUUGUUGUCCUUCGAAAAAUCAAGAUAUUUCUCAAGUAGUUGUCCCUGAAAUAAGCAUCCAAUUUUUGUUCUCAAAGUAUUUUUCUUAAGGCUUCGAAAGAUUUUUCCAUGGCUGACUUAACCACGGAAUCACCUGUUAAAUAUGUGGUACCAUUUUACUGCAUUCUCAUGGGAUAAAGAUC
rnacentral:lncRNA from 1 species